CGCAGGCGCCGUCCCUGCUGGGCUGGGUCGACCGCGGGCCACGUGCAAGCGCCCCGCCCGCUCAAAUAUGGGCUCCUGCGGGGCGGUGGGCUCGGUGCGUGCGCGCUACCUUGUGUUCUUGCAGUACUUGGGCACUGACUUCAAUGGGGUUGCGGCCGUGAGGGGCAAUCCGCGCGCUGUUGGGGUGCUGAACUUCCUGGAGGAGGCUGCCAAGCGGCUGAACUCUGUCGACCCGGUCAGGUUCACCAUCUCUAGCCGCACCGAUGCCGGGGUGCAUGCCCUGAGCAACGCGGCGCACCUGGACAUCCAGCGCCGCCCAGGGCAGUCGCCUUUCUCCCCGGAGGUCGUGGCCAAGGCCCUCAACACCCACCUGAAGCACCCGGCCAUUCGUGUACUGAAGGCCUUCCGAGUGCCCAACGACUUCCACGCUCGACACGCAGCCACCUCCAGGACCUACCAAUAUCGUCUGGCCACAGGCUGCUCCUGGCCUAAUCAACUGCCUGUGUUUGAACAAAAUGUAUGCUGGGCUCUGCAGACAGAGUACCUGGAUAUGGCGGCCAUGCAGGAGGCUGCCCAGCACCUCCUCGGGACACAUGAUUUUAGUGCCUUCCAGUCUGCUGGCAGCCCAGUCACAAAUACUGUACGCACACUUCGAAGAGUCUCAGUGUCACCUGGUCCAGCCAGCCCAUUUGUCCUCCCCGAGGGGAGCAGAGUCGAGUAAGUCAUGCAAAACUCGCUCACCCUCUGGAACUGGUGGUCAACUAGGCAAGAACCCACCCUGGAUGGAAGCCUUUAAACCAGUAUAUAAAUCGUUGUCUUGUCUGAAGCCACAUGGUGAGCUAGGUUGGCUGAGCCUGCCCUUAGCUUGGACCUCAAAGCUGUCUGUGUUCCUAGGAGGCUGCAGUUCUGGACCUUGGAGUUUGAGAGCCAGUCUUUCCUUUAUAGACAGGUGCGGAGGAUGACAGCUGUGUUGGUGGCUGUGGGGCUAGGGAUCCUGGCACCCACACAAGUGAAAGUGAUUCUGGAGAGUCAAGAUCCCUUGGGCAAGUAUCAGGCUCGAGUUGCUCCAGCCCGUGGCCUGUUCUUGAAGUCAGUGCUGUAUGACAACUUUGGUCCUACAUCCUGAACCCUAUGGUGUCCGCGGUGUGGAAACUAGAUGACGGUACACAGUGGAGAUGAAGUGGAGAUUGUACAACAUUUAUUGUGCUCGGCAGAGAUUAAUCUACAGCUAUGUAGGGCUCUGGCAGUCCUGCCUACCUUCCAGCAGCUACCACUUCCCCGGGCUCUCUACCCUGGACAUCCCUUUGUCACUAAAGGGAACAACAUGGGGUACCAGGCAGUCAAAAGCUGUAAAAACCCCAUUUUUCUGGGAACCCUGUUUUCUUGGGGCAGAGAGUAGGAAUAAAAGACAUAGAGAACAAAAA